GCAUUUGAGGUAGCUCGCAACUUACUUAGAUAUAACUACGCCCCUUAUAUGUUUCACCAGGCCAAUCUAAGGUUUUUCGAUUAUGAAAAUAAAGAAACGUGUUUACUCUGCAUGUGGAUUGAAGCUGUCAUAGCCUAUAUAAAUAGUUAUUCAACGUUGCCAAUAUUGACUUAUAAAAUGGAUGACUUAGCGGAAAUCUAUGCACUGAGAGAAGAAAGAGACAAAUGUGAUAUAGAAGUCUUUGUGACUUAUGACGACAAUGAUAACCCCACUCAACUUCGAUUAACCUCUAAAAAUAUAUGUACUGCAAAAAUUACACAAACAACCGGUUUUAAAAAGUACUUUAAAUCAAGCCACUUUAUCACUCAUAAAGAACGUUAUGGGCCGGAUAAGACUGUGGAUAUAUACUUAGACGGCUCUACACGCAUUCUUUACUUUGAUGAUCAAGAAAAUAUACCUUAUGAAAGGGAGCUCCCCUACCCUCCCGCUGUGACUCCCACGGGAAGAGUAAAAAAGGAAACUUUAUCGCCCCAAGAGUUCAUAUUGCAAAGGAUCUUCGAAGUUGAUAAUAACCUAAGAACACAAAUUGGGAACUAUUUUAAAUUCAUUAAUGAGUUUGUAUCCUUUCAUAAAGGCGCACAAUGCUACUGGCCGGAAUUAUUAAAAAACUUAAAUUUAGUUUCUGAAACCUUUUCUAAAAGA